ensembl:lncRNA
AGCAGCCAGCACCAUGGAACAAGCACCAUCUUUUCAGGAGCAGCAAUUCCAGAGACAAAACCUGGGGAGAUUUCAGCACUACCGGGUGUGCCUUCUGAACAGCAGGAGUGGGCUUCCAGCUGGAGCCCAGAUGAAGGUUAACUACAGGACAAUUUACCAGUAAGUGGGAGUGGUAUUAGCAAUUACAUUCUGGCUGAGAGUGACUAAUUGCUUCCACCUGGGAAAGCAGAUCCAGCCCCAAAGGAAGGUGAAGGUCAUCGCUGCUCCAGGGUUAGAGCUACAGGAACGGCUGCUCCACAAUGCCACACAUGGUUCUUGCUGCAAGGUCUUUCGCAAAGAACACUGACUGCCUACAUCUCUUGUCUGGGAUGCAGUUCUCUUUCUCCCCAUUCUCCUAGUUUUGUUUUGUUUGCUUUUCCUGAUUUCUAACAUCUGACCUUGUCUGUGCUACUUUCUGCAUCUCUCUUUGUCUUACUGAGUCCCCUGGCAUAUUUCCUCCCUCCUAUCUGUCAUGGACAUGUGAACUAGUGCUGGCCAAUGAGGCAGAAGUGAGUAGCUCCGGGCUGUACUUCCUGUAAGUCUGUUGUAUUAUAUAUGUACCUAUCAAUAUAUUUGUAUAUACAAAUAGGUAUACAACAGCUGACUCAGCUGACACAUAGCUUUUGCUUUAUUCUUACCCCUUCCUCCUGACCAGAAUGGACAAGAGAUUCCCAAGGAUGCAGCAUUCAUAUUCUGGCCUCCAAAGAGAGUCACACGAAAAGGAUGCCAGGGCAGAAUAAUAAAAGGAGCCAGGCCCCUACAGGGCAUUAUGGACGAUUCAACCAGUUCUGGACUUUUCACCUGAGAUUUACUGUAAGGUGAAAAAAAUAGCCUCUAUGUUGUUAAGCUACUGCUGUUGGCUUUCUGCUAUUUGCAGCUAAACUCAGUCCUAACAGAUACAUAAAUCCUUUUCAUUUUUCCAGAGGGUCUUCAGAAAUACUGCCUUGGGUAUCUAACUAUUACUGACUGAAUUGUGCCCCUCUAGAAUUCAUAUGUUGAAGUCCUAACCCCUGAUAAGGGAAUGUGACCAUGUUUGGAGAUAGGGUCUUUAAAAAGGAAAUUACAUUGAAAUGAGCUCAUGAGGGUGGUUCCUAUUCCAGUGUGAUUGGUGUCCUUAUGAAAUGAGGAAACUGGAGCACAGACACAUCCAGAAAGGGAAAAUGAUAUAAAGAGGCAUAGGGAGAAGAUAGUCCCUGAGAAGAAACCAACCCUGCCAACACCUUUAUCUCUGACUUCCAGCCUCCAGAAUCACAAGGAAGGUAAAUUUCUGUUGUUUAAGCCACACCCUCCAUUGUAGCUUAUUUUAAUGGCAGCCCUGACAAACUAACAUAAAGAUCUAUAUUUCCUGACCAUGGGAUCCUCCAUGGUCAGGAAGGGGCUUAGCAGUUGGACCACCUGUAUUAAAAAUGCGUGAGAUUCCUGUUAAAAAAUAGGGUAGAGUUCAGGAAUCUUUAUUUUAACCAGUUUCUCUGGUGAUUCUUAAGUGCUCUAUAGUUUGAGAAUCACUAGUUCAGUUCUUUAAGGUCUUACAGAACACAAAUGAGAUAGAGGAGAAGUUGACAGGCCAGUGACAGGCUGGGGAAUAAGAAGUAUUUGAGGGACAGACAAAGACUGACCUGAGACCAGGAGAGAGAGAGACACUUCAGAGGAACAGUAUGAGCUAAGACUCCAAGGUGGGAAAGAAAUAGGUGUGUUUGGUGGCAAUGAUAAUAGUAAUAAUGAUAGUAAUCUCAACUAGCAUCUUCAUGAUGUCUUAUAACUUACAAAGCAAUUUUAAUUAUAUUAUCUAAUUUAAAUCUUCAACUGUAAGGUGAGAUUUAUAGGUAAGGAUUACAGGUGGAGAUUACCAGUGAAGUUGCAUGUCACCUCAACCCAGUGAGGAAGUUAAUAUUUUAUUAUCUCCAUUCUGCAGGGGGAGACACCAAGUCUACAUACUAGAAACAGUAUAUGCUAGUUGUCAAGGUCUCCAUGGUUUUUUGGGGACAACCAGAAAGCUCUGAUGUGAGCACGACUCCACUUCAUGCUGUAAGUGGCCAGAAGCCAUGAUCCCCUAAAGCACUGCAGCUCUGCCUGCCUUGACAAUGGAGUAGGGAACAGAAUAAAAUAAUCCUAUAAAAUGAUCUCUUGAGAGAGUGAUUGGCUAGAGAGAAGAUAGGAAACAAAGGAAGAAGGUAGCUUCCUCUCUUGCACUUGUGUAUUUUGGACCUACUUUUAAAGGGUCUAUAGUGAAGAGAGCCCAUCAAGCA